rnacentral:RNase_P_RNA from 1 species
ACUACAAACCGUGCUACCGCUUCAUUGAUAAGAUGACGAGGAAAGUCCGGACAGCGUAGAGCAACGCACCACCUAACUGGUGGGUCCUGGCAGCCGCCAGGAACAGCUAGUGCCGCAGAAAAUAACCGCCUCUGCUCUGUAGAGGUAAGGGUGAAAAUGUGGGGUAAGAGCCCACGGCAUUGACAGGUAACUGUUAGAGCGGGUAAACCUUGCGUGCUGAAAUGCCAUGUAUACGGUCGUUUGAGGGCUGCUCGUCCGAGACCGAGGGUAGGCAGAUACAGACAACGUGUGAGCGUUGUCGCAGAUAAAUGGUAGCAUCUCUACUUCGUAGAGAACAGAAUCCGGCUUACAGGUUUGUAGUUUUU